rnacentral:rRNA from 1 species
ACUCCUACGGGAGGCAGCAGUAAGGAAUAUUGGACAAUGGGCGAAAGCCUGAUCCAGCCAUGCCGCGUGGUGGAUGACGGCCCUCCGGGUUGUAAACACCUUUUAUCUGGGGAUAAUGGUUUCCUAUACGGAAGCUUGCAGGUACCAGAUGAAUAAGCACCGGCUAACUACGUGCCAGCAGCCGCGGUAAUACGUAGGGUGCAAGCGUUGUCCGGAUUUAUUGGGUUUAAAGGGUGCGUAGGCGGCUGAUUAAGUUAGUGGUGAAAUCGUGAGGCUCAACCUCAUACCCGCCAUUGAUACUGAUCAGCUUGAGUAUGUUCGAGGAAGUUAGAACGCGUAGUGUAGCGGUGAAAUGCAUAGAUAUUACGCAGAAUACCAAUUGCGAAGGCAGACUUCUGGGACACAACUGACGCUGAGGCACGAAAGCGUGGGGAGCGAACAGGAUUAGAUACCCUGGUAGGAUAGCGU